rnacentral:rRNA from 1 species
GAUGAACGCUGGCGGCGUGCCUAAUACAUGCAAGUCGAGCGAACGGACGAGAAGCUUGCUUCUCUGAUGUUAGCGGCGGACGGGUGAGUAACACGUGGAUAACCUACCUAUAAGACUGGGAUAACUUCGGGAAACCGUAGCUAAUACCGGAUAAUAUUUUGAACCGCAUGGUUCAAAAGUGAAAGACGGUCUUGCUGUCACUUAUAGAUGGAUCCGCGCUGCAUUAGCUAGUUGGUAAGGUAACGGCUUACCAAGGCAACGAUGCAUAGCCGACCUGAGAGGGUGGUCGGCGGCACGGGAGCGGAGGCGCGGGCCAGACGCCUGCGGGAGGGAGCAGUAGGGAAUCGUCCGCAGUGGGCGGGAGCCUGGCGGAGCGGGGGCGCGUGAGUGGUGGAGGUGUUCGGAUCGGAAAACUCUGUUAUUAGGGAAGAACAUAUGUGUAAGUAACUGUGCACAUCUUGACGGUACCUAAUCAGAAAGCCACGGCUAACUACGUG